rnacentral:lncRNA from 1 species
CUUGAGCAGACAGCUCAAGGCAUGGCAAUGAAAACUGUUCAAUAAAUUUAUUCUAAGUAUAAGCAUUAGACGAGAUAAAGGUUUCUUAAGUCACUGUUAAGAGGACUCUAAGUAUGUAAAAAAUGACUAUUAGUCCCUCCAAAUAUAUUCUUCCCUUCUUCUAUGGUAAUAGCAUUCUUAAUUAUUAGCUAAGCACAGCCUUCUGGAAUAAAUACUACAUUUUACGACUUCUUUUUCCAGUGAAGGCUGACCACGUAACUGAAUUCUCUUCUUUUAUAUUUCCACCGACUGGAACCUGGGUGAAGAGAUGGGUCAACAGUAAUGAAACAAAAGACACCACAUUCUUCCGUUGGACACCAAGAUUCUCUACUGCACCAUAACCCAAGCCAAACCAGCCAUAGUUUGCUGGGGAUCUCUGCUGCUACAGCAUUUGAGACCCACAGGAAAGUUCUCAUGAAUAAUGUGCAGUUAUAAACAGGUGACUGUAUCAAGAUGUCUUCACUUAAUGCUAUUUCCAAACACACUCUGAGGAAAGUAAUUGGAUACCUUCAGUAGCAAUUGAUCUGUACAGGAAGAAACUGAUUAAAAGCUUUGCAAGGCAUCGAUUGCAUGUGCAUUAGCUUGCAUUGGCUUGCAUUUAUUUUCUACUGAAAACCCACGUAAAUUGCAACAAUAACCAGAAUCAUAAUGCUAAAGAGAAAUAUAAAAUAUUUUAAAGCCACAAAUAUGAAAAUCCAGGCCAUUCUUCCACUGCAGAGUAGGUAAGACGCAAAAGCAGCUUACCAGGAGGCCGCAUAUAAUUAGGUUAAGUGCUUGUGAGGCAGUGUCAAGUGUUGAUGUGCUACCAAAGGAACAGCUUAUAAAGUAUGAAUCCACUCUCCAUUUUCUUACCACCAGCAACAAGAAAUGUCAGCAGGCUCCAAGCACCUUCCUGGAACAGCCACCAUUAAUC